CUCUUGGCUGACAGAAUAACGAGAACUGUUGCAAGAGUGGAGGCUAUGAGAGGAGUUACAACCAGAGACGAGGGUGACCACUGACCCUGGGGAAGGAAGAGGGCAGGCUGAAGCUUUCCUACCCAGAGGCUGUACACGAUGGGAUUGACCAGGGGAGUGACCACAGUGUAGAACAGAGAGAAGAUCUUGUUCAGGGCAGCAGCCCGGGUUGCUGUGGGGAUGGCAUACACCGUUCCCAGCGUGCCAUAGUACAGCGUGACCACGAUGAGGUGGGAGGAGCAGGUGGAGAAGGCCCGUUGCUUUCCGGCAGCUGAUGGAAUUCUGAGGACAGCAGCAACAAUGUGCGCAUAGGAGGCUACGAUGAACUGCAGUAGAAGAGGGCAUGAAGGACAGGAAGGAAUUAAGGAUGAAUCUCCGGUUUGGGGCUUAAUCAACUGCAUGGAUGAUCAUGUCUUUUCCUGAGAUGGGAGGACCAGUCAGUCAUUGCAGUCCAUGCAGAGUGGAGGUAGGAACUGAAGAAGAUCGGCUUCCAUCAUCUUUAAGGUAUGAAUUUGGAAGAUAUUAUGACUGUGUAAUUGAACGACUGACCUGAUUCUGGUUGGCUUGUUAGGGUGAAAAUCAGCCUUUCCUCGCACACACGUUCUGUGGGGAGGUAAGCUCAUGUAUCAGCUCACAUGCACAUGUGAUUACAUGUGGGGGGAUUGCUGAAAGAUGAGUGAUGAUAAUAAUGGCUUACCAUGCUUUAGACACUGCGCUACUGGAGUUAUAUAUCCUCAGAACCUCCAUAUGAAGCAGGUAUUUUUAUUUUAUUUUCU